rnacentral:rRNA from 1 species
GACGAACGCUGGAGGCGUGCUUAACACAUGCAAGUCGAACGGUAAGGCCCUUCGGGGUACACGAGUGGCGAACGGGUGAGUAACACGUGGGUGAUCUGCCCUGCACUUCGGGAUAAGCCUGGGAAACUGGGUCUAAUACCGGAUAGGACCACUGCCUGCAUGGGCGGUGGUGGAAAGCUUUUGCGGUGUGGGAUGGGCCCGCGGCCUAUCAGCUUGUUGGUGGGGUGAUGGCCUGCCAAGGCGACGACGGGUAGCCGGCCUGCGAGGGUGACCGGCCACACUGGGACUGAGAUACGGGCCAGACUCCUACGGGGGGCAGCGGUGGGGAAUAUUGCACAAUGGGCGCAAGGCUGAUGCAGCGACGCCGCGUGAGGGAUGACGGCCUUCGGGUUGUAAACCUCUUUCAGCACCGACGAAGCGCAAGUGACGGUAGGUGCAGAAGAAGGACCGGCCAACUACGUGCCAGCCGCCGCCGUAA